UUAUUGGUAUACAGACUACUGUUACGCGGUGAAAAUGCCUAAUCUAACCAAUUUAUCCCAUUUUCCUUUAAAGAUUAUAUUUGCCCUUCACUUGAUAUUUAUAUCAUGGGGUAUACAGGGGAGUUGGUGUCCGAAAUCUGUACUGUUCUAUAACUUGCUAUUCUUUGUUUGCAUAUUUUGGGCUGUUCAUAGUGUCGAAUCUGACGAACCACUGCAAUUUGCGUUUUUCAUAAAUAUAAUUUCUAUAUUUCUUGAUGUUAUAACAUUAGCUCUCUAUUAUCCAAGUCUGUACUCAGAUGGAUCUGAAAAGUUUAGCGCAGCCCUUAUGGUUAUAAACUUAAUCGCUCGUCCUAUCUCGAGUAUAUAUCUGUUGCGAGUAGGUCAAGGGAGAAAUGGCAAUUUAGCCACAGUAUUUGCACCAAGUCCUGCCAUGGGUCAGUAAAUCACUGGCUACGUGUCUACGCUUUUGUAGUGCGUCAGUGCUUCGUCAAGAUCUGAUUUUAAGCUACGGCAGACAAGAGUACGAGGAGAUUUCUCAUCCCGUCCCGCAAAACUCCGAUUUUGAGGGAGUUUAAGAU